rnacentral:rRNA from 1 species
AGCGAACGUUAGCGGCGGGCCUAACACAUGCAAGUCGAACGCGAAAGGUCUUCGGACUGAGUAGAGUGGCGCACGGGUGAGUAACACGUAGGUAAUCUACCCUUUGGCGGGGGAUAACGUUCCGAAAGGAGCGCUAAUACCGCAUAAGACCACGUGGUCUCCGGACCGAGUGGGAAAAGGUGGCCUCUUCUUGAAAGCUACCACCGAAGGAUGAGCCUGCGUCCCAUCAGCUAGUUGGUAAGGUAAUGGCUUACCAAGGCAAAGACGGGUAGCUGGUUUGAGAGAAUGAUCAGCCACACUGGCACUGGAACACGGGCCAGACUCCUACGGGAGGCAGCAGUGAGGAAUAUUGGGCAAUGGGCGAAAGCCUGACCCAGCCACGCCGCGUGAGUGAUGAAGGCCCUCGGGUCGUAAAGCUCUGUGGAGAGGGACGAAAACCCUGGUUUCAAAUAGGCUCCAGGCUUGACGGUACCUCUUUAGCAAGCACCGGCUAACUCUGUGCCAGCAGCCGAC